rnacentral:misc_RNA from 1 species
UCCGGCUUCUCGCCGGCAGUCCUCUUUGAGUACCCGACAUAACUCGCUGGCUCCGAAGAGCACCCGCUUUCACGGGUUUCACCCUGCAUGUCAAGCCCAGGUAAGGUUCUUCGCGUUGCAUCGAAUUAAGCCGCAUGCUCCGCCGCUUGUGCGGGCCCCCGUCAAUUCCUUUGAGUUUUAGCCUUGCGGCCGUACUCCCCAGGCGGGGUGCUUAAUGCGUUAGCUUCGGCACGGACGGGGUUGAUAUCCGCCCACACCUAGCACCCAACGUUUACGGCUAGGACUAC